UCCAAGUCCACCACAAAACUGAAUACUAGAGAGAGGUUGAGGAUCAUACUCUGCGCUCAGAUCAUCGGUACCAAUCGCAUUCUGUUGCGCUCCAUAUUUUUUUAGUUGGUUUACUGGAAUCGGUGUUGCUCCUGUUUACUGAGACAGUGCAUAGGCCAGACGAUCAUUAGUACCUUGCAAAAUCACCUGCAGCUGUGUUGAGGACGACCUGGAGUGCAAGCCAACGCAGGCCAAUACUACUUAGCCGUCAGGAUGAGCUAGUAAGGCACUGCGCAGAAGGGUCCGGCUUUCAUGCUGAGGCACUCAAACACCAGGCACUCGUGUAGCCGCCUUCUCUCCUAUCUCCAUCCGGGCUCUGCAGCCUUCCAAGAAUCCGCUGCUUGUAGGGCUCGCGGGAUCCUUCCCUCCACCAGACUCUUCAGUGCGGCUCCAGCGCCUGAGGAGGAGCUUCGCCACGACUCG
rnacentral:lncRNA from 1 species